AUUGAACGCUGGCGGCAGGCCUAACACAUGCAAGUCGAGCGAGGGGCGGACGGGUGAGUAAUGUUUGGGAAACUGCAUGAUUGCGGGGGAUAAAUAAUGGAAACCGUAGCUAAACACGCAUAACAUUAGAUGUGCCCAGUUGGGAUUAGUGAGUGGGUGGGGUAACGGGCCACCUAGGCGACGAUCCCUAGCUGGUCUGGGUGGAUGACCAGCCACACUGGAAAUGAGACACGGUCCAGACUCCUACGGGAGUCAGCAGUGGGGAAUAUUGCACAAUGGGCGCAAGCCUGAUGCAGCCAUGCCGCGUGUGUGAAGAAGGCCUGCGGGUUGUAAAGCACUUUCGUCGGGGAGGCGUUACCCGAAGAAGAAGCACCGGCUAACUCCGUGCCAGCAGCCGCGGUAAUUC
rnacentral:rRNA from 1 species